UGGCGGACGGGUGAGUAAUGUCUGGGAAACUGCCUGAUGGAGGGGGAUAACUACUGGAAACGGUAGCUAAUACCGCAUAACGUCGCAGGACCAAAGAGGGGGACCUUCGGGCCUCUUGCCAUCGGAUGUGCCCAGAUGGGAUUAGCUAGUAGGUGGGGUAACGGCUCACCUAGGCGACGAUCCCUGCUGGUCUGAGAGGAUGACCAGCCACACUGGAACUGAGACACGGUCCAG
rnacentral:rRNA from 1 species